GGAGUAAAAGUCGUAACAAGGUUUCCGUAGGUGAACCUGCGGAAGGAUCAUUCAUAAUAAAGUGUUUUAUGGCACUUUUUAAAAAUCCAUAUCCACCUUGUGUGCAAUGUUAGAUCUCGUCAAUCUUGGCGAGAUUUUUAUACAUCAACUCAUUCUUUAACUAAUUUGUCUGAAAAAUAUUAUGAAUACUUAAUUCAAAAUACAACUUUUAACAACGGAUCUCUUGGCUCUC
rnacentral:misc_RNA from 1 species